AUGCAAGAGCAUGGGCCACAUUUCAGUUCUCCGGCCAAGAAGGAGAAGUCGGCCAAGGAUGCGUGAGCGGGUGAAGGGCCAGAGACGCUUCAUUUGCGUGUACCACGCCGUUCCAGCACCAAUACAAGGUGGGUGGUGAUGGCCACACGAUGUCGUGCUGGGCCUUGUCCUGCUAACGACGACGAGCUCAUCCAGUCCCAAGGCCCAGCACGACAAGUGGCUAUCCACGCUCACCACGUAUUGCUGCUGGAACGGCUUGGUGCACGCAAAUGAAGCGCCUCUGGCCCUUCACGAGCUCACGCAUCCUUGGCCGGCUUCUCUUUCUUGGCCGGAGAACUGACAUGUGGCCCAUGCUCUUGCAUAUGCUGCACGGUCUGCAGUCCGGCGCGCUCCAAGCCGUCCUUAAUGGAGCGGCCGGCUUGCUGGAGCGAGUGUCCGACGUAAGCAACCGCGCCGGAAGCGGUAACACACGCGAGGAUCACGUUUGGGUCCAUAUUGCUGCAAUGGUGCAAGAGAUCUUUCGUUCAGGCCUCCUCCCUGCUAAAAGAACUCCUGCUGCCAGAUGCUUACCACCUUGCAAGAGUUGUCAGCGUUGGCUUCUGUGAGGUAUUCAGCUUGCUUGUGAACAUAAAUCAGCUUGCUUUUACUUGUUCUGCACGGGUUUGUCCCGUCUAGGUCGCGUUUCCGCCCAUUUGCUCGCGAUCAGGCCGAUGGGCCGAUGGGCUGCGCCCCCCCCCCCCCCCCCAAAAAAAAGAUUCAAGUGCGCCCCCACCCCAGCAACGACAGCAGCACCAGCAGCACAGCAGUGCUUUACAACUUGGUACACAGCCAUGCCACAACGCGGAUGCGCGCAUCUGUAGCCAUGUCAGCCAGGCAUUGUCACCGUGCAUGAAGAGGAGCAGUGCACGCGUCGCGACCCACACCGAACCACCCCCCUGCACCUACGGCCCCCCACCACCACACUGUGCCCACAAACUCACACCCCUCCCCGCUGGUUAUGGCAGGCUAAUGUACAUGCCUUUCCGCGCGGGGCACUCCCGCCCAUCGUCCGUUUGCUCUCAGCUUCCUCUCGUGCUCACUGCCGCUAAAGCCAUCACGCACACGCCGGCCUCUCGCUCUCAAGCCCGACCCAACACCUCAUCAUCCAAGCGCCUAUGCUGAUCGAAACCCACGUGCGAAAGCCCUGCGCGCAAUACCCCAGUCAAUAGCGGGCAGUCGCCACGGCGUGCCGCGCCCACGGAUGGCGCAUUACCGCACCUCCGCUUGCACCGCAUUAGUGGGUGUGUGAUGGGACAGGGUUUAGGCAGGUUGGCGAGGUCCCGUAGGGUGCAGCUGAUGCCCAUAUCCCAAGCAGACGGCAGACAGUUUGCAGUGGCAGAGCAGAAGUGCAUGGCUGGUCGAACGCCGGAGUUACUGUACCGACAAGUUGCUGGCUGGCUGGAAGUUUGCUGAUGCGCAUUCCUCACGCUCUGGGCGCCCCGCCAGGCGAUAGCACCACACAGACACACCGCAACGCCACACUCGCGAUGCAGAGCCGCAGCGCACCUGCAGGAAGAUGGCCAGCGUCCACGGAUGAGCACCAGAGGCAACCGCAGAGAAAAUGCAGACAGAGUGCAGCAAAGCAGUGGCCGGGCGACAGUGUGACAAGCAGGGGCGAAAACAGGGCGAGGCAAGGCAGAAAAGGGAGCCCGAAUGUACGGAUAAGUGGCGGGCGAGAACCGCAUUAGUGGGUACUACCACAUACUAGGCACGCAAGCCAGGAACCCGUGUGCCCCUGUGCCCAUGCGGCGGCGGCGGCAGCGGCGACAGCGACGCAGGCACGUAUCCUCCACACCCGCCACGCACCAGCAUCAGCCCCCUCCAAAACCCCGCUCCAUCACUACCACACGCACGCGCCUUGGUGAGAGAAAUGCGUGUGUGUUUGUGUGCGUGUGUGAUUGUGUGCAUGUGUGAGCGUCGGCAAAUGCCAAGCCCGAAUGCAAACGUACGGCACCCGCCGGGAAAAAAACUGGUCUGGUCUGGUGAUACGCAGAACCGCGCGUACGGCGUCCCGCCGCGCGUGGCAAAGUCGCAACGCUCUUCACACGCGUGCGUGCUGCCGUACCGGGCGCCACGCUAUGCCGUACUCAGCCAUGUCACCGUGCCCGACACGCAAACAGUCCGUGGGGGAGAGCCAUGCGCAGCCCCCCCUCAAUAGCCAUGCUAAUCCCGUGAAGAGCCAUCAUGCAAGCCCACUGCGGUGCGCAGGGGCACAAAACUUGAGCAGCAGCAUGUGCAGCAGCAGCAGCAGCAGCCAACAAGACGCACACACGUACACGCGUGCGUGCUGCCUGCCUGGCCCAGCGCGCGUAUCUUACGAAGGCAGGGGCGGCGUCAGUGGCCGAAUUCCUUAAAAUGGCUUCGUUUAGUUGACGAAACAGGCUGCCGCCGCUUCGUUCACCCCCAAAAUUUUUCCGGGGGCUCCGCCCCCGACCCGCACGAUGUCGACACCGACACGACACGUUCCCUGCUUCCCGCCGACCCAACCUCACUCUCCCGCCAGGGGAAACCCUGUCUCCCGCCGUCAACACCCAUAGAUACAGCCCUUUGAGCCUUCUUACCAUACGCCACGCAGGUUUCGGCCGUGGAGUAGCCGCUGGAACCCCCUGUCCUUGGUAAAAAGUGGCCGAAAUCCCAAAAAUGUCUUCGUCUGUUUGCCGAAAGACCCCCCAAGAGCCCGUGCGUUUUGGCCGAAAUUCCAAGUCAAAAUCAAAAAAAUUUCGUCCGCCAGAGGCCUUCUUGGGCAAAUUUCGUUCCGAACGAAGGAAGAUACGAGCGCUGGCCUGGCCGCCUGCCUACAAAUGUGGAAUGUCACCGGGGCCGCAUCUGCCGGCCCGGCCUGACCUCGGGUGAAUCAUGAACGCAAGCCCACUCCGCCAUCCGCUCUGGUCUGCGUACGCAUUAGUUCCGCAACACUCGUCAUUAAUCACGAUGGUGGUGCGAGAGGCAGGUUUGACAUAGUGUGUUGCUCGCAUACCGUACGUGGCUCGUGGGGGGUGUGAAAACCAAGCGAUGGGACAGGGGCAGGGGCAGGUUGGCGUAGUCCCGUAGUGUGCAGCGGACAACCAGACCCCAACAUUCAAUUUGCAACGCCAAGGCCAGAUUGCGCGUUUUGGUGCUGGGCAGUGCCUGCCUGUUGUGGUGCGCGUCGCCACGCGCUCGCUGGCCGUUGGGCUUCCUGUCGUGUCAGCAGGUGAACCCCUGCGUGUAUUUGCCCUCGGCCACCCCUGCUCUCGGAUGUUCGUGUCGAUUCCGUCCCUUCCCUGUCAGCCCGGCUCCUUCUGAUCAGCUCAUCAACCGGCUGUUACAGCGGAGGCCGACAGCUAGCCUGCACAGCUGCACUGCAACACCCAUGCACACCACAGGUGCUACAGCCCCAUCACGCUGCCUGGCACGCACACAGCACAGGUUGCAAGGCCGUACGUAGCGAAUACUUGUCCACCAAUGCGACAGGCGUGCUGUUUGCCACCAUAGAGCAGUGCGCCACAUUUUCCGCCACUGUAAGUCGGUAGGUUACCGUAUAAGACUGGUGCCGGCCAGCUGCACGGCCUCUCGCAGCUAAAACCUGCUGGGCCCCCUUUCAUCUGUCAUCACUACGUGGGGUUAGAGGCGGAGGACCGGAGGCCCCGAAGGGGCCGGAGGGAAUGAAGCCUCUAAGCGAGCUUCCAUGAGGAAGUCGUACAGGCUGGCUCUCUUUGGCGCCAGCCUCCUCUCUCUUCUUCAUUCCGCCUUCAUAGUGAGAGCUUUUAACGUUACUUCUAACGUUCUCACUCAAGUGCCCGCCCUUCUUUCCCGCCCCUCUUUUUCGGCUAAUCUCCCCUCCGCGCAGGAUCGCUCGGCCCUUCCGGCGCCGGCGCCUCCGGCAUCCGUGCUGUUGCCUCGGUGUCGCCGCCGGUUCGCGCGGCCGCCGGCCCUCGGCCCGCCGCCGUGGUUUUGGCGGCGCCGCCGGCUGGCGGCUUGGCCGCUGGCGCGGUGGCGCCUUUGGCGGCGCCCCGGGCGCUGGUGCUUCGUGGCGUGGGCCGCUCGUCUCGCCGGGGCGUCACGCGUGGCGUGCGGGUUGCUCGUGGUGUUCGGCUCGCCGUGUCGGGCCGUCGGCGUUCGAGUUAGCUUGUUGGCUGCGCUUUGGUUGCGGUGGCUCCGUUCUGAGGCUGUGUUGUUGUUUGCUGCUGAUGGCCCUCACCAUCCCCCCUGCGGGUCCCCGCCGACCCCUGCUCCCCCUCGCAGAACUAGGCCUGCGGGCGCGGGCGCUGCUGCCCGGUAGCCACGCCGCGGACACGGAGUGCCAGGCGCUGGCCGCGCAGCUGGCCGAGGAGGCACCGCUGUCUCGGCGGCCGGCGACGCACAGCCAGUAUGGCGGCCCGUGGCGCAGCUUCCUGGCCUGGUGCCGGCGGCGCGCCCCGCCGGUCCCACCCUACGCCGCCUCGCCGCAGCUGGUCGCCCUCUAUCUGCAAUCGGUCCUCAACUCGGCCACCGCGGACGGGUCCGGCCCUAGCCGAGUCGACGUAGCUGGCAAGGCCAUCGCCUUCCACUACAGCCUGGCGGGCCUGCCCAACCCAGCCGCAGCGGAAAGCUGCGCAAACGUGCGCGCCACCGCGGCCCGGCGGCUGCAGGUGCAGCGCUUGCACCGGGAGGCCAUGUCCGCCGCCGACCUGGCGGCGGUCCUGUGCGCCCACGCCGGGCCCGGCGCCCCGCUGCUGCGCCUCAUGAUGGCCACGACCGUGGCCCUCAUGUUCUACGGUUUCCUGCGGUUUGACGACAUGGCGGAGGUCAGCGUUCACGCCGACCUGCUGCUCAUCACGCCCCGCCACAUGGCCAUUUUCAUCCCCCGGUCCAAGACCGACGUGGCCAUGGACGGUCAGUGGGUGCACAUCGCCCGGCUGCCCCACCUAGGCGGUUUCUGCCCCGUGGCGCUCACGGAGCGGCUGCUGCGCCAAGGCGCCUACCGCCGCCUUCCGGCGGCGGCCGAUGAGGACGUCGGGCCGCUGCUCCGUACGGUGCAGUACACGGCCGCCGGCGGCCGGCUGCAGCGCCUGGUGGGCACGCGGGCUUCGCCGGUGUUCAGCAUGUCUUACGGCGCUUUCCGCUCCAACUUCCUGGCCCGCCUGCGGGAGGCGGGCGUCUCGGGCAACAUCAAGCCGCACUCGAUGCGCAUUGGUGGCAACAGCGCCGCGGCUGACGCGGGAGUUCCGGCGUCCCUGCGGCAGGUGCAUGGCCGCUGGAAGCCCGCCACUAUGGUCGGUCACUACACACGCCCCACCCUCGAGGACACCCUCGGUGUCACCCGCGCUAUGGGCCUCGCUGGAGGUGAGGUAUCUCUUCGUUUUUCCGCUUGUAAGGCCCUCCUCCUGUGGCCUGUCGUCCCCUUGUCCCACUUCCUUGUCAGCUGUCAGCGGCCUAAUGGCGCCAAAGGGAGACAGCUUUACAGUACGACUGUAUCAUGGAAGUGGGGUUAGAGGCGGAGGACCGGAGGCCCCGAAGGGGCCGGAGGGAAUGAAGCCUCUAAGCGAGCUUCCAUGAGGAAGUCGUACAGGCUGGCUCUCUUUGGCGCCAGCCUCCUCUCUCUUCUUCAUUCCGCCUUCAUAGUGAGAGCUUUUAACGUUACUUCUAACGUUCUCACUCAAGUGCCCGCCCUUCUUUCCCGCCCCUCUUUUUCGGCUAAUCUCCCCUCCGCGCAGGAUCGCUCGGCCCUUCCGGCGCCGGCGCCUCCGGCAUCCGUGCUGUUGCCUCGGUGUCGCCGCCGGUUCGCGCGGCCGAGACAGCUUUACAGUACGACUGUAUCAUGGAACCGACUCCCGUACGCACGUCAAACUCUCAGAAUCCCCAUGCAUUCCAACCUUUCCAAACCGCAAUGAACUGGCGCAUACUCAAGUACUUGUCCGUUCGUUCACCAGCACACGUCGCUACGUUGCAUCAGUCCUCUACUACGUAGGUCAGUAGGUAUACAAGCAGCGGCCCCUGCUCUGGCCCGCCGGGCCCUCCUCUGGGUUGGUCUCCGGCACGGACACAGCCAUGCCGGAGGAGAAAAGUUUCAUUGCUCCAACGCAGCAAUAUGGACCCAAGUAUGGUCCUUGCAUGUGUUACAGCUGCUGGCGCAGCUGCUUACGUGGGGCACGCGCUCCAGCAAGCCGGCCGCUCCGUCAAGGACAGCUUGGAGCGCGCCGGGCUGCAGACCGUGCAGACCGUGCAGCAUACCGUAUGCAAGAACACGGGCCACAUUUCAGUUCUCCGGCCAAGAAGGAGAAGUCGGCCAAGGAUGCGUGAGCGGGUGAAGGGCCAGAGACGCUUCAUUAGCGUGUACCACGCCGUUCCAGCAGCAAUACAUGGUGGGUGGGGAUGGCCACACGAUGUCGUGCUGGGCCUUGUCCUGCUAACGACGACGAGCUCAUCCAGUCCCAAGGCCCAGCACGACAAGUGGCUAUCCACGCUCACCACGUAUUGCUGCUGGAACGGCUUGGUGCACGCAAAUGAAGCGCCUCUGGCCCUUCACCAGCUCACGCAUCCUUGGCCGGCUUCUCCUUCUUGGCCGGAGAACUGACAUGUGGCCCAUGCUCUUGCAUAUGCUGCACGGUCUGCAGCCCGGCGCGCUCUAAGCUGUCCUUAAUGGAGCGGCCGGCUUGCUGGAGCGAGUGUCCGACGUAAGCAACCGCGCCGGAAGCGGUAACACACGCGAGGAUCACAUUUGGGUCCAUAUUGCUGCAAUGGUGCAAGACAUCUUUCGUUCAGGCCUCCUCCCUGCUAAAAGAACUCCUGCUGCCAGAUGCUUACCACCUUGCAAGAGUUGUCAGCGUUGGCUUCUGUGAGGUAUUCAGGUUGCUUGUGAACAAAAAUCAGCUUGCCUGUACUUGUUCUGCACGGGUUUGUCCCCUCUAGCCUCUAGGUCGCCCCGUUUGCGAUCGCGAUCGGGCCGAUGGGCCGAUGGGCUGCGCCCCCCCCCCCCCCCCCCCUAAAAGGUAUAAGUGCGCCCCACCCCAGCAACAACGGGAGCACCAGCACAGCAGUGCUUUACAACUUGGUACACAGCCGUGCCACAACGCGGAUGCGAGCCCUGACAGCCAGGCAUUGCCACCGUGCGUGAAGUGGAGCAGUGCACGCGUCGCGACCCACACCGAACCACCCCCCUGCACCUGCGGCCCCCCCACCACCACACUGUGCCCACAAACUCACACCCUUCCCCUCUGGUUAUGGCCGGCUGAGGUACAUGCCUUUCCGCGCGGGGUACUGCCGCCCAGCGUCUGUUUACUCUCGGCUUCCUCACUGCCGCUCAAGCCAUCACGCACACGCCGGCCUCGCGUUCGCAAAGCCCGACCCAACACAUCAUCCAAGCGUCUAUGCUGUUCGAAAACCACGUGCGAAACCCCUGCGCGCAAUACCUCAAUCAAUAGCGGGCAGUCGCCACGGCAUGCCGCGUCAACAGAUGCGCAGCACGCGUGCAGUACCGCACCUCCGCUUGCACCGCAUUAGUGAGUAUUACCACACUAUAGGCACGCAAGCCAGGAACCCGUGUGCCCCUGUGCCCAUGCGGCGGCGGCGGCAGCGGCAAUGCCGACGCAGGCACGUAUCCUCCACACCCGCCACGCACCAGCAUCAGCCCCCUACAAAACCCCGCUCCGCCACUACCACAAGCACGCGCCUUGGUGAGAGAGAUGCUUGUGUGUUUGUGUGCGUGUGUGAGCAUCGGCAAAUGCCGAGCCCGAAUGCAAACUUGCGGCACCCGUCAGGAAAAAAACUGGUCGGUCUGCUGACACGCAGAGCCGCACUUACGGCGUCCCGCCGCGUGUGGCGCAAGACGCGCUUGGCAAAGUCGCAAUGCUCUCACACGCGUGCAUGUUGCCGUACCGGGCGCCACGCUAUGCCGUACUCAGCCAUGUCACCGUGCCCGACACGCAAACACUCCGUGGGGGAGAGCCAUGCGCAGCCCCCUUCAACAGCCAUGCAGAUCCCGUGAAGAGCUAUCAUGCAAGCCCGUUCCGGCGUAAAGGGGCUCAAAAUUUGAGCUGCAGUGGAGGCCAACACAAACGCACACACGUACACGCGCUUACGUGCUGCCUGCCUGGCCGCCUGCCUACAACUGUCUGCCCGCCCGGCCUGACCUCGGGGAUGGCGACUGGGCCUUGGGACUGGAUGAGUUCAUCGUCAGAAGCAGGACACGGCCCAUCCACUCUUGUCCUGCUAACGACGACGAGCUCAUCCAGUCCCAAGGCCCAGCACGACAUUGUGGCUAUCCACGCUCACCACGUAUUGCUGCUGGAACGGCUUGGUGCACGCAAAUGAAGCGCCUCUGGCCCUUCAUCAGCUCACGCAUCCUUGGCCGGCUUCUCCUUCUUGGCCGGAGAACUGACGUGUGGCCCAUGCUCUUGCAUAUGCUGCACGGUCUGCAGUCCGGCGCGCUCCAAGCCGUCCUUAAUGGAGCCCAAGCCGUCCUUAACGGAGCGCCCGGCUUGCUGGAGCGAGUGCCCGAUGUAAGCAGCUGCGCCGGAAGCUGUAACACACGCGAGGAUUACGUUUGGGUCCAUAUUGCUGCAAUGGUGCAAGAGAACUUGACCUCCUUCCUGCUGAAGAACUCCUGCUGCCAGAUGCUCACCACCUUGCAAGAGUUGUCAGCGUUGGCUUCUGUGAGGUAUUCAGCUUGCUUAUGAACAUAAAUCAGCUUGCUUGCA
rnacentral:lncRNA from 1 species